CAGAAAAGCCAUAGCAGUUGGCUGCUGGAUGUGCAGCCAAAAGAAGAGGAAUUUGUAAGUAAUUGUGUCUGAAAUCUGUUAACUGGAGAGAAUAAAUGGAUAAUGAAGAAUACAGGAAGGAUAACUCUUUGGGAGCUGGACAGAAGAUAAAUCUGUGCACUGGAGUUCUGCUGUGGAAACUGCAGCUUUCCCCUCUCUGGAGGACACUGUGCUGUGAAAUGAUCAGUGGCAACGUUCACACUUUGUGCUCACCAAGGUGUUACUGACUGAAGUCCAGCUGUGAGAGACCAGAGGAAUGUUCCAUUUGAACUGAACUUCUGCAGCCUACAUCUUACACUGUGUACACUGGUGGGUGUCCAGUGCAACACUGCCCUAGACCAGAGCCCUGGGUCAUCACAGGUGCUGGGAACUGCUGACAAAGGGCACCGUAAUGCAGGAGACUGUUCCAUUAGAAGAUAACAGGACU